rnacentral:miRNA from 1 species
CCCAAGAGACAGGCCGAGAGUGA